rnacentral:rRNA from 1 species
GACGAACGCUGGCGGCGUGCUUAACACAUGCAAGUCGAACGGAAAGGCCCUGCUUGCAGGGUACUCGAGUGGCGAACGGGUGAGUAACACGUGGGUGAUCUGCCCUGCACUUCGGGAUAAGCUUGGGAAACUGGGUCUAAUACCGGAUAGGAGCCAUCUUUAGUGUGGUGGUUGGAAAGUUUUUUCGGUGUAGGAUGAGCUCGCGGCCUAUCAGCUUGUUGGUGGGGUAAUGGCCUACCAAGGCGGCGACGGGUAGCCGGCCUGAGAGGGUGUACGGCCACAUUGGGACUGAGAUACGGCCCAGACUCCUACGGGAGGCAGCAGUGGGGAAUAUUGCACAAUGGACGCAAGCCUGAUGCAGCGGCGCCGCGUGGGGGAUGAAGGCCUUCGGGUUGUAAACUCCUUUCGCUAGGGACGAAGCUUUGUUGUGACGGUACCUAGAUAAGAAGCACCGGCUAACUACGUG